UUCUAGAGCUAAUACAUGCUGAAAACCCCGACUUCGGAAGGGGUGUAUUUAUUAGAUAAAAAACCAAUGCCCUCCGGGGCUCUCUGGUGAUUCAUGAUAACUUAACGAAUCGCAUGGCCUUGCGCCGGCGAUGGUUCAUUCAAAUUUCUGCCCUAUCAACUUUCGAUGGUAGGAUAGUGGCCUACCAUGGUUUCAACGGGUAACGGGGAAUUGUACGUACCGCCCCUCUUCCACUUUAUCUCCGUGGUGUUGUUGCUAACGUUGGAUACAGAGGGUUCUAUUCCGGAGAGGGAGCCUGAGAAACGUGGGUACCCUUUCCGUUAAGCGUUAUAUAAGCGAUCCGCUAACCCGUGUUCUAGGGCUACCACAUCCAAGGAAGGCAGCAGGCGCGCAAAUUACCCAAUCCCAAUUCGGGGAGGUACGUACUAGAAUUGGUCUUAUCAACGGUAUAUGCUAACGGUUUUUCAGGUAGUGACAAUAAAUACUGAUACAGGGCUCUUUCGGGUCUUGUAAUUGGAAUGAGUACAAUCUAAAUCCCUUAACGAGGAACAAUUGGAGGGCAAGUCUGGUGCCAGCAGCCGCGGUAAUUCCAGCUCCAAUAGCGUAUAUUAAAGUUGUUGCAGUUAAAAAGCUCGUAGUUGAACCUUGGGCCUGGCUGAUCUGUCUUCCUAACCGUUGCACGGAUUCGGUCGGGCCUUUCCUUCUGGGGAAUCCCAUGCCCUUCACUGGGCGUGGUGGGGAACCAGGACUUUUACCUUGAAAAAAUUAGAGUGUUCAAAGCAGGCCUAUGCUCGGAUACAUUAGCAUGGAAUAAUGGAAUAGGACAGCAGUUCUAUUUUGUUGGUUUCUAGGACCGCUGUAAUGAUUAAUAGGGAUAGUCGGGGGCGUCAGUAUUCAAUUGUCAGAGGUGAAAUUCUUGGAUUUAUUGAAGACUAACUAUUGCGAAAGCAUUCGCCAAGGAUGUUUUCAUUAAUCAGUGAACGAAAGUUAGGGGAUCGAAGACGAUCAGAUACCGUCGUAGUCUUAACCAUAAACUAUGCCGACUAGGGAUCGGACGGUGUUUCUUUAUAUGACCCGUUCGGCACCUUACGAGAAAUCAAAGUUUUUGGGCUCUGGGGGGAGUAUGGUCGCAAGGCUGAAACUUAAAGAAAUUGACGGAAGGGCACCACAAGGCGUGGAACCUGCGGCUUAAUUUGACUCAACACGGGGAAACUUACCAGGUCCAGACAUACGAAGGAUUGACAGAUUGAGAGCUCUUUCUUGAUUGUAUGGGUGGUGGUGCAUGGCCGUUCUUAGUUGGUGGAGUGAUUUGUCUGCUUAAUUGCGUUAACGAACGAGACCUUGACCUGCUAAAUAGCCCGUCUGACUUUGGUUGGACGCUGGCUUCUUAGAGGGACUUUUGGCUCAAGCCAAUGGAAGUACGAGGCAAUAACAGGUCUGUGAUGCCCUUAGAUGUUCUGGGAUGCACGCGCGUUACACUGACAGAGCCAGCGAGUACAUCACCUUGGCCGAAAGGUCUGGGUAAUCUUGUUAAACUCUGUCGUGCUGGGGAUAGAGCAUUGCAAUUAUUGCUCUUCAACGAGGAAUGCCUAGUAAGCGCAAGUCAUCAGCUUGCGUUGACUAUGUCCCUGCCCUUUGUACACACCGCCCGUCGCUACUACCGAUUGAAUGGCUCAGUGAGGCCUUGGGACUGGCUCAGAGAGGUCGGCAACGCCCACUCAGAGCCGGAAACU
rnacentral:rRNA from 1 species